rnacentral:rRNA from 1 species
AUUGAACGCUGGCGGCAGGCCUAACACAUGCAAGUCGAACGAGUGGCCGACGGGGGAGGAAUGUUUUGGAAACUGCCUGAUGGAGGGGGGUAAACACUUGAAACGGUAGCUAAUACCGCAUACCAUCAGAUGUGCCCAAAGGGGAUUAGCUUGUUGGUGGGGUAAAGGCUCACCAAGGCGACGAUCCCUAGCGGGUCUGAGAGGAUGACCAGCCAGACUGGGACUGAGACACGGCCCAGACUCCUACGGGAGGCAGCAGUGGGGAAUGUUGGACAAUGGGCGCAAGCCUGAUGCAGCCAUGCCGCGUGUAUGAAGAAGGCCUUCGGGUUGUAAAGUACUUUCAGCGGGGAGGCGUUACCCGCAGAAGAAGCACCGGCUAACUCCGUGCCAGCAGCCGCGGUAAUAC